UAGAGUUUGAUCCUGGCUCAGAUUGAACGCUGGCGGCAGGCUUAACACAUGCAAGUCGAGCGGAAACGAGAAUAGCUUGCUAUUCGGCGUCGAGCGGCGGACGGGUGAGUAAUGCUUGGGAAUAUGCCAUAUGGUGGGGGACAACAGUUGGAAACGACUGCUAAUACCGCAUAACGUCUACGGACCAAAGGAGGGGAUUCUUCGGAACCUUUCGCCAUUUGAUUAGCCCAAGUGAGAUUAGCUAGUUGGUAAGGUAAAGGCUUACCAAGGCGACGAUCUCUAGCUGGUUUGAGAGGAUGAUCAGCCACACUGGGACUGAGACACGGCCCAGACUCCUACGGGAGGCAGCAGUGGGGAAUAUUGCACAAUGGGCGAAAGCCUGAUGCAGCCAUGCCGCGUGUGUGAAGAAGGCCUUCGGGUUGUAAAGCACUUUCAGCGAGGAGGAAAGGAGUGUAGUUAAUAACUGCAUUCUGUGACGUUACUCGCAGAAGAAGCACCGGCUAACUUCGUGCCAGCAGCCGCGGUAAUACGAGGGGUGCAAGCGUUAAUCGGAAUUACUGGGCGUAAAGCGUGCGUAGGUGGUUUGUUAAGCAAGAUGUGAAAGCCCCGGGCUCAACCUGGGAACUGCAUUUUGAACUGGCAGACUAGAGUAUUGUAGAGGGUAGUGGAAUUUCCAGUGUAGCGGUGAAAUGCGUAGAGAUUGGAAGGAACAUCAGUGGCGAAGGCGGCUACCUGGACAAAUACUGACACUGAGGCACGAAAGCGUGGGGAGCAAACAGGAUUAGAUACCCUGGUAGUCCACGCCGUAAACGAUGUCAACUAGCCGUCCGUGGUCUUGAACCGUGGGUGGCGCAGCUAACGCAAUAAGUUGACCGCCUGGGGAGUACGGCCGCAAGGUUAAAACUCAAAUGAAUUGACGGGGGCCCGCACAAGCGGUGGAGCAUGUGGUUUAAUUCGAUGCAACGCGAAGAACCUUACCAUCCCUUGACAUCCAGAGAAGAGACUAGAGAUAGACUUGUGCCUUCGGGAACUCUGAGACAGGUGCUGCAUGGCUGUCGUCAGCUCGUG
rnacentral:rRNA from 1 species